rnacentral:lncRNA from 1 species
GUAACUUUGCUGAUUAUUACGGGUAAUUCACAACUGAAAUGAUUUUCACCUCGGCACCAGCGUAAUUGAUAUUCACCUCAGCACCAGUGCAUGCUGAUAUUAAUUUUGUAUUUUGAUAGCGUGGCAAUCCAGGACCAUUGAUAUUUUUACUUGUUGUUGACACUUGUAUGGACGAAGAAGAUCUACAGGCUGUGAAGGUAUAUGUGAUGUGUUGCACUGUUACAUGGUGUUAAACACUGUUUACAGUACAGUAUACCGCUAAUUCAAUAAUUCUCUAUUUCAACUUUUCACUAAAAUGUUCCGAACUUCGCAAAUUCGUUGCAAAGUUCAAAAGUUCAUAAUGAAGUCACAAGUCGGUUUGUAAACUGAGCAUUUGAUUGUCUGGUUUGAUUUACAGUAGUAGCCAAGAGGCUUUGUUUACAAUCCUACUUGUGAAUUUUAUUAUGAACUUUUGAACUUUGCAACGAAUUUGUGAAGUUCAGAACAUUUUAGUGAAAAGUAUAAGUUGAAAUCGACAAUAAGGUUGUCUCUGAAGGUCCUUCGACCAGUCGACCUCUAAGCGCAAAUGCACAAUGGGCGUGUUUGUUAUUAUGAGAUUACUUAUGCAUGCAUGUUAGUACUAUAUUUUGCUAAUAAAGUAUAUUUCUAAUAUUUAUGCAAGUCGAUCAAGUGAAUUUAAUUCCAAAGGAGUUGAGCAUACUCAUAAAUAACAUUCUUCAACGUGAAUUCUGUCAGGUUUGCUACUGAAUUGGGUUAGACGGGCGAAUAAAAUCCGAAAUACAGUAGGUGAAAAUCACGGGAAUUCAUUAAUUAUAAAUCGCCUUUUUACGCAAUUUGAGCAAAACACCUUUGGGACUUAGCAACCGUACAGUAACUACGGAGUGUCGGAAGUAUGAAUUGCAUAUUGUAUGCAAAUCCAUCAUGCUUUUCGCGCUUAGAGGGCGAGGGUUUUGAUAUUUUUUUAUUAACUUUACAAUCAUACAGUAUUAUACAAAAAAUACACAUACAGCUAUGAUUGAAGGAUUGGGACAACAGAACUAGAAUCCCAUACUAACGCCCGUAUUCUAAAAGCUCACUCACACUCAAUGAGUGGAAGUUCAAUCUGAACUUCUCUCGCGUGUCAUUGCUGUUUUUGAAUAGCUGGAGGGCUAGUGUCAUACCUUACUAUGUGACUACUCACCCUCCAGCUAUGGGCCAUUCCAUUUAAUGUACACACACCCCUAUGGACGAGGUCAAUAAAAUUUGAACCCCAAAGAAAAAAAGAUCAAAGUGCCAACACAAACACACACCCCCCCCAGAAAUUAAUAAAUUUUUGCCUUACCCCUCAGAAAAAACGCAAAGAUCAAAGGAUGCCGAUGCACACAACCCCUCAGAAAUGGCUUUUUCAACCCCCUUCAGAAAUUCUCGUCCAUAGGGGGGUGUGUACAUUAAAUGGAAUGGCCUUAUUCAAAAAGAGCAUUGACACUCAAGAGAAGCUCAGAUUGAACCUCCACUCAUUGAGUGCGAGUGUGAGUGACCUUUUAGAAUACGGGCGUAACUCCAUCCAUCUAACACUAAAACACGACAUACUGUAGUACGGACUACAAACUGGACAACGUAAAUACUGAUUUUACAGGCCUUUGCACUAUAUAAAACAUGCAAGAAUAAAUACAUAACUACACUGUACUGUGAAAUUAUUUGUUAGGUUCAGUUUUGGCCCCCACCCCCACCACCACCACCACUAGUUAGAAACCACUAACCACUUACAAUUUGAAAUGACAACCUUAAUUGAAUUCGCUGUAUACACUGCAUGUAGUUUUACACACUGUUACAUUAUCCCAACUAACUUUGUUGCUAUUCUGGAUUCUAACUUUAUUCAGGAAUCUCUGCAAAUGUCAUUGAGUUUGAUGCCACCAAAUGCCUUGGUUGGAUUGAUCACUUAUGGCAAGAUGGU